rnacentral:rRNA from 1 species
ACGGGUGAGUAACACGUGGGUGAUCUGCCCUGCACUUCGGGAUAAGCCUGGGAAACUGGGUCUAAUACCGGAUAUGACCAAUGGCUGCAUGGCUGUUGGUGGAAAGGUUUACUGGUGCAGGAUGGGCCCGCGGCCUAUCAGCUUGUUGGUGGGGUAAUGGCCUACCAAGGCGACGACGGGUAGCCGACCUGAGAGGGUGACCGGCCACACUGGGACUGAGACACGGCCCAGACUCCUACGGGAGGCAGCAGUUGGGAAUAUUGCACAAUGGGCGAAAGCCUGAUGCAGCGACGCCGCGUGAGGGAUGACGGCCUUCGGGUUGUAAACCUCUUUCAGCAGGGACGAAGCGAAAGUGACGGUACCUGCAGAAGAAGCACCGGCCAACUACGUGCCAGCAGCCGCGGUAAUACGUAGGGUGCAAGCGUUGUCCGGAAUUACUGGGCGUAAAGAGCUCGUAGGCGGUUUGUCGCGUCGUCUGUGAAAACUCGAGGCUCAACCUCGAGCUUGCAGGCGAUACGGGCAGACUUGAGUACUGCAGGGGAGACUGGAAUUCCUGGUGUAGCGGUGAAAUGCGCAGA